UAGAUUGAAGUCCGCUGGCUGGGGCGUUUAGUUGUUAAUUAAAAAUUUUACGGGAUCGAGGCCCGUCAAUCUA
rnacentral:tRNA from 1 species